AAGUCGUAACAAGGUUUCUGUAGGUGAACCUGCAGAAGGAUCAUUAGUGAAGAUUCAAGGGCCCAGCCAUACAGACGUACAAUAAGUGUGUCUCUGGCGGCUCACAUCCACUAUACAUCCAUAAACCCGGUGUGCACUGUUCUAAGGAGUAAUGAAAGAAAGAAAGGAAAGGGGGGGCGGGGAUGAGAGAGUGGCAAUGUUGCUUUGCAUAUAAACUCUCUCACUCUCCACUCUUUUCUCUCUCUCUCUCUCCGGGUUAAUUACAAAACUCGUAUGGAUUUGUAUGAACGUGAGAUAUAUCGUUGGACCGUCACUGGCCAACAAAUAUAACACAA
rnacentral:misc_RNA from 1 species